rnacentral:rRNA from 1 species
GUGGGGAAUAUUGGGCAAUGGAGGGAACUCUGACCCAGCGACGCCGCGUGCGGGAUGAAGGCCUUCGGGUUGUAAACCGCUUUCAGCAGGGAAGAAGCGAAAGUGACGGUACCUGCAGAAGAAGCACCGGCUAACUAUGUGCCAGCAGCCGCGGUAAUACAUAGGGUGCAAGCGUUGUCCGGAAUUAUUGGGCGUAAAGAGCUCGUAGGUGGUUCGUCACGUCGGAUGUGAAAAUCUGGGGCUUAACCCCAGACCUGCAUUCGAUACGGGCGAGCUAGAGUGUGGUAGGGGAGACUGGAAUUCCUGGUGUAGCGGUGGAAUGCGCAGAUAUCAGGAGGAACACCAAUGGCGAAGGCAGGUCUCUGGGCCAUUACUGACACUGAGGAGCGAAAGCGUGGGGAGCGAACAGGAUUAGAAACCCCAGUAGUCC